CACAAUCUUAAUCUUAACGAUACAUAAAAUAGAACACUACGACAAAUCCAAUCAUUGACACGAAACCAUUCACAAUCUAAACACGACUCUCCCAUAGCAAAAGUCGUCUCAGUUCAAUUUAUCCCAAUCCAAACCCUAACAAGGCAAAAACGGAAAACAAAACCUCAAACCUUGUUUCCGUCUUCAUUGUCUGAAUUCCGGUUGGAUGGAGGUGCGAGCCUCCAUCAAAUCCAACUUCACUCUGUAUAUAGUGAUUCAGAAACCCAGAAUAUAAAAGUUCUAAUAUUAUCUGGAGGAAGUGUACAUAGAUUAUACUGAAGAUGUUUUCUUGGAGUUUCUCGAAAUCCGCUGAGGCGAUGUUCUCGCGGUGGGCAGUAAAGCGUGUUUGUAAAUUCUUGUUGAAGAAGAAACUGGGGAAAUUUAUACUGGGAGAUAUUGAUCUUGAUCACCUUGAUGUUCAGCUCGGUGCUGGCACGAUUCAGCUCUCCGACCUCGCGCUGAAUGUUGAUUACAUAAACGAGAAGUUUGGAACAGCAGCUGUUCUAGUGAAAGAGGGGUCUGUUGGAUCAUUAACUGUAACUAUGCCUUGGAAGGAAGGUGGUUGCCGAGUUGAGGUGGAUGAGCUCGAAGUUGUUAUUGCUCCUCGCCAGACGAAAGUAAUUCGAGAUGAAUUUGAGACUCACUGUCACAGCAAGAGUGGCAACAAUAGUUCGAGCCAUGGUCUCAGAAAACAAGACAAUGAGACUCAUAAUAAUGCGGUUGCAAGUGCUUCUGUUGAAGUUCAUGAAGGAGUUAAAACUAUUGCCAAAAUGGUGAAGUGGUUGCUAACUAGCUUUCAUGUGAAUAUUAAGAAGCUAAUUGUGGCAUUUGAUCCACUUUUGGAAGAUGAAAAUAGUAAAGCGUUAGACAGAAUAUUGGUUCUUCGGAUUAAUGAACUUCAAUGUGGAACUCAUAUUUGCGAGGAUUCUGCUUCUACCAAUUUCACCAAAGCUCGCAAUGUCCUUGGUAUAAGUAGAUUAACAAACUUUUUUGAAUUCCAAGGAGCAGUUCUUGAAUUACUUCCUGUGGAUGGUCUUGAUCAUCAGUCUUCGCCUGAUUUUUUGGUUGAUUCGACUAUUGGCAACUGGUAUUCAGGAAAUUGUACAGCUGGUAACACGACUGCUAUAAUUUCUGGAGAAAAGGGUGGUUUUUGUGGGAGUUUAAAGUUAAGUUUACCUUGGAAAAAUGGUUCACUGGACAUUAGCAAAGUGGAUGCCAACCUUCAUAUUGAACCUCUUGAAUUAAGACUUGAACCUAGCUCCAUCAGGUACUUCAUCUUUAUGUGGAACCUACUUAAAGGUAUAGGUGAGGAGAGGGAGGACCCAGUUCCUCGUGAACCAUCAGACAGCUUGUCAUCCUCGAGCUCUGCCAUGCAUCCUAGUAGCAAGGGGCCACUCGGUAAUGAAUUCUUUAUUGCCAACUUGCCAGAGAAAGAACCAGUACAUAACCUACUAUCAGAUUCACAUCUCAUAUCUGAUUGGGUGAGUAAAAGCCAGAAAGACCUAACUGAAGAAGAACCAGACUUUGGGGCGAGCGUGGAUCAAUUUUUUGAGUGCAUUGAUGGACUAAGAAAUUCACAGUCAGCUUUAGGGAACAGUGGCAUGUGGAAUUGGACUUGUUCUGUUUUUAGUGCAAUUACUGCAGCAUCCAACCUUGCCUCUGGAUCUUUACAUGUCCCUUCUGAACAGCAGCUUGUUGAAACCAACCUCAGUGCAUCCAUAGAAAAAGUAUCCCUCCUUUUGUCUUUCAUUGAUGAAGACAAGAAACAGUCCCCCAACAUUAAGGCUGAUAUGGCUAAUGCUGCUAUUCACCUUCAUCAUCUGUGUGCACAGUUUGUAGAACUAGAUCUUGUACUGCAGGUACAUCCUCGAGAAAUGAACUUUGAAUUAAUUGCGCAACAUAUUCAAUUAGUCGAUCAUUUGUCCUCCGUGAAUGACUUGGUGGAUUACAAGAGUCAUGUUCAACAUGAAAACUCUGAUAGUGAGACGGACUUGAUCCAAAAAAUGCAAGAUGGUGUCCAAGGUGCUCUUCGGACUGUUCAAGAAUCCACAAAAGAUCUUGGAUUAGGCCACCGAAUUAAUGAUCCUGUUGAAGUUUCAUUGAGCAUGCAGGACACUAGUGGAUGUCAGCACUUGAAGAAUGGCAAAGAUAUUUGUCGAGACUAUGCCAGUGUAACUUUGCUCAAAACUUCAGGUGUCAGCAGCAUCCAUGUCAGUAUAAACCUGGGUUCUUCUGGCAGCUCAUUAAUGGGGCCUACAUCUUUUACUUUAAAGCUGCCACCCUUUGUUUGUUGGAUGAACUUUGAUCUUAUUAUUACGGUGCUAGAAUUUCUGCAAGAGAUGUCAAACUGUAUUGGAACAACUAGCCUGGGGAAUGGUUUUGCACUGGAACCAGAAAGUAAAGAAUAUGGAUUUUCGGCUAUUCAUGGAAAGAUUUCACAGCCACGGCCUACCAAUGUGUCAACCAGAAAGUUUCUGGAGGGCAAUAUAUUCCUCCCAAAUGCUAGGAUAAUACUGUGUUUCCCUUUGAAGGAGCGUGAAUAUUAUUCCAGCUACUCUUCUUGCAAUCAGUUUAUUGCUUUUGACUUGGUUUCACCAACAAUAAGAGGGAGAGAUGAUCGAUCAACCAGGCUGACUCCUAUUGCUAGUUUUGACAAGAGACCCACUAUGACCACAUCAUGCUCCUUGAAUUUGAAUAUGGGUGACUUUUAUCUCUUUUACAUCAGCUCAGCUUAUAUGGAGAAGAUUGAUGAAAGUGAAACCUACGAGAGGCGGGAGGGUAGCUUUUCAGCUGAAAAGAUUAUUUCAGUUGUUAAUGGAACUGAUCAUCUGUCUGUUAUUAGUAUGUUUUGGCAGGAGGGUCCUGUGACUGGUCCUUGGAUCGCCAAAAAAGCCAAGCUUUUGGCUUCCUCUGAGUAUGGUAAGAGCCAAGAUAAGGUUGUUGGAAAAGAUUCUGAGUUUGCCUCAGUUACAACUGUUAGAGACAGCAAUGGAUUUGAUACUCAUACUCGGCAAGAGAUGUUAGCAAGCUCUGCAUUUUUCUUGCGUGGAAAAUUACCUCCUGCAACAAUAUAUGUAGACGAAAAAAAGUACGAGAACAUAUCUGGCCUCCUAAAUCAGAUGGCCGAGCAUUUCGCUUUUGUCACUGCCGAAUCAGUUAGUAAUAUGAAAGAGCAUUCUGCGCUUCAAACAUCAUUUCUAUUUGAAUGUGAGUCUGUAACAAUUUCUCUUGCAGUUGAACCAGUGGGGGAUUUUAAGUGUUACAUACGCUCAGAACUUCCAGGUUCUUGGUCUAGUCUAACUCUCAAGGUAGACAAGUUUGAGUUACUUUCUGUAUCUAACAUUGGUGGAAUAAGCCAUGCCAAUUUCCUAUGGGUGUCCCAUGGUAAGGGAAGUUUGUGGGGUUCUACUGAAGGUCUUAAACGGGAGUUUCUUUUGAUAUCAUGCAGUGACUCGACAAUGGGUCGUGGUAAUGGAGAAGGUUCAAAUGUGUUAUCUUCUAGAUACUCUGGUUCUGACAUUAUCAACUUUUCGGACCCAGAAAGCAACCAUAUGUUUACUUCAAUUACUAUUAGAUGUGCCACUAUUGUUGCAAUUGGGGGUCGCCUGGAUUGGUUUAAUACAAUAAUAUCCUUUUUCAUCCUACCAUCUUCUGAAUCUCAACAAGCAGGUGAUAAUUGUCAGAAGGCUUGUGGAUCUUCGUUCAUUCUUAAUCUGGUGGAUGUUGGCCUGAGUUAUGAGCCAUACAUUGAAAAAUUGAUCGAAAAUCAGGGCUCAGACCUCAAAUCUUCUGAUUUUAAGGCCAAUGAAUAUGAGGAUGAGAUGUAUAUUGCUUGCCUUCUGGCUGCUUCUUCGUUGAAACUUUCAAAUACAACUGUGGCUUAUUGUGCAGAAAGGGAUUACAAAAUCAGACUGCAAGAUCUAGGUUUUCUUAUAUGCACAGUGCCUGAAUAUGGGUUAAUUGGUUGCACUCACAGUGUAGGGCAACUUAACAAUCUUGGUUAUGUGAAAGUUGCCCAAGAGGCAAAUGUUGAAGCACUUUUUAGGACGAACUGUGAGAAUGGCCAUGCAUGGGAAUUAGAAUGUGCAGAGUCGCACAUCAUGUUAAGUACAUGCCAUGAUACAACUUUUGGAUUAAUUAGGUUGGCUGCUCAACUCCAAAAGCUUUUUGCUCCUGAUAUGCAAGAUUAUGUUGUGCACUUGGAGAAUAGGUGGAAUAAUGUACAGCAAGCACAUGAAGUCACUGAUGAAAUGGCAAUAAGCGGUGAAUUCUCUCCACUUUACCAAUCAGAGAGUUCAAGUCAAGAGAAAAAGUCCAAGAUGGGAAAUUUGAUGGAUGAGAUAUGUGAAGAUGCCUUUCAGCUGGACAGCAACUCUGCUGGCCAAGCUAAAACUUUUAGUUCUCAUCUUUGCUCCAUGGUCGAGGAUACUUCUCGUGUAGCUGGUGGGGCUUCAUCAUCAGGAGAAAAGACUCCUGAGAUUAUAGAAGAAUAUUUCCUGUCAGAUCUUCGCCCCCUUUCCGUACUUUCUUCAGGAAGCCAGUCAUCUGAAUUUUAUGGUUUCCACACCGUUGUUGCUGGAGAGGAUCGGAUAGGAACUGAUGGAUGGUAUGGGAGCACCCCAUUAAGAAUACUAGAAAAUCAUGCUUCAAAAGUGGAGAAGCCUGAUGUGCGGAAACCUGUGGACUUUGAAGUUUGUACAAAUGAUUCUGAACAUGUUGAUGUGAUAGCUGAGGGUCGCGUAGUUCUUAAGAAUAUAAAUGUCAGUUGGAGAAUGUACGGUGGUUCUGACUGGUCCAACUUCCAGAAUACUUCUCCACCGUUGGCUAUAGCAAGGGAUGUGACUACUUCUUUAGAGCUUACAUUGUCUGGAUUAUGUGUUGAGUAUGAUGUGUACCCAAAUGGUGAAAUAUCUGCAUCUACGCUUUCUCUCACCAUUAGGGAUUUCUGCCUCUAUGACAGAAGUAAUGAUGCGCCAUGGAAGCUGAUGCUUGGGAAUUAUCAGUCGAAGAAGCAUCCAAGAAAGUUCUCUUCAAAAGCUGUGAAGCUGAAUUUAGAAGCCGUUAGACCAGACCCUUCAAUCCGUAUUGAAGAAAAUCGGUUACGUAUUGCUUUACUUCCCCUUCUUUUGCAUCUUCAUCAACGCCAACUUGAUUUUCUCAUCAGCUUCUUUGGAGGAAAAAACACAUCAGCUGACUCCUCUUCCAGUGCCCCUCUGGAUUUAAGUAAUUCAGGAGAGCCAUUUGAGAAGAGCAACAAUGUGCAGGGUCGUGGCAUCAAUGAAGAGGCAUUUCUUACUUACUUCCAGAAAUUUGACAUAUGGCCUAUGCUGGUUCGAGUUGAUUAUAGUCCUUGCCAUGUUGACUUAACAGCUCUAAGGGGUGGCAAGUAUGUCGAACUUGUCAACCUCAUACCUUGGAAGGGUGUGGAGUUGCAACUCAAACACGUGCAAGGAAUAGGUCUCUACGGCUGGAGCAGUGUUUGUGAAACAAUAAUGGGAGAGUGGCUGGAAGACAUUUCUCAGAACCAGGUUCAUAAACUGUUGAAAGGCCUUCCUCCCAUUAAGUCAUUGCUUGCUGUUAGCUCUGGAGCUGCAAAGUUGGUAUCUCUGCCUGUGAAGAGCUAUAGAAGGGAUCAUAGGUUACUCAAAGGAAUGCAAAGAGGCACUGUUGCAUUCCUUAAAAGCAUUUCGCUUGAAGCAAUUGGGCUGGGAGUACAUUUGGCUGCCGGAGCUCAUAACAUCCUCCUCCAAGCAGAGUAUAUUCUAGCUAGUAUUCCACCCUCUGUACCAUGGCCGCUAGAAAGCGAAGUAGGUAACGGUGUGAAAUCAAAUCAGCCAAAUGAUGCUCAACAUGGAAUUCAACAGGCCUACCAGAGUAUUAGUGAUGGCCUGGGAAGAUCAGCCUCUGCCUUGGUACAAAGCCCCUUGAAAAAGUACCAGCGUGGUGCUAGUAUGGGAUCUGCUUUGGCAACUGCUGUGCAAUCUGCUCCAGCUGCGGCUAUAGCUCCUGCUUCUGCUACAGCACGUGCAGUGCACUGCGCUCUUCUUGGCUUUAGGAACAGCCUUGAUCCUGAGCACAAGAAAGAGUCUCUGGAGAAAUACUUGGGCAGAACCCCACCUCAGGAAUCCAAGCAGUAGGUUUUGCAGACAAGCAAUACAAUUGAUGCUGCAUUAUGUCAUCAAUUACGCUGAAGAUAGAUUUUAUGGGUUUUUCCCUAUGUGGAAGCUGUUGAAAACACAAGUUGAUGGUGAAAAAGCAAGGUUACGGUCAUAUCACAGGCAGUCAGAAAUUCAACAGCUGCAGAGAGAGGAGCAAAACUUACUCUUUCUCUCCCUCCCUCUCUGGUUUUGUGGUAUACCGAUGUAUAUAGAUCAUGCACAAAUGGGCAACUCUAUCGGAGGGGUGUUUUCUGUGGCCCGGCUUGUGAGGAGAGAUUGUGUAAAUACACAGUGUAAAAUAGUGAAUAUGUGAUGAUAUUAGGUUUUAUUUAUUUAAAAUCAACCCCCAGCCUUGUAAUUAGGGGUCAUGUUUUGGUCGACAGCUUCAAGUGUAAUUAUGAUUUCGUUUGUUUUGAUUCUUUGUUGAUGUAAAUAUACACACAAUGAAUGCUGAAGCGGGAAGUUAUUUGUUUUCA